AACGAACGCUGGCGGCAGGCCUAACACAUGCAAGUCGAACGCCCCUUCGGGGGAGUGGCAAACGGGUGAGUAACGCGUGGGAACCUUCCCUGUGGUACGGAAUAGCUCCGGGAAACUGGAAUUAAUACCGUAUACGCCCUUCGGGGGAAAGAUUUAUCGCCAUAGGAUGGGCCCGCGUCGGAUUAGCUAGUUGGUGAGGUAACGGCUCACCAAGGCUCCGAUCCGUAGCUGGUCUUAGAGGAUGAUCAGCCACACUGGGACUGCGACACGGCCCAGACUCCUACGGGAGGCAGCAGUGGGGAAUAUUGGACAAUGGGCGAAAGCCUGAUCCAGCCAUGCCGCGUGAGUGACGAAGGCCUUAGGGUUGUAAAGCUCUUUUGGCGGGGACGAUAAUGACGGUACCCGCAGAAUAAGCCCCGGCUAACUUCG
rnacentral:rRNA from 1 species